UAUUUGAUUUUCGUUUUAAAAUACAAAAAUUAAAAUUGAAAUACAAGGCGUUUUUCCUUUUCAUGAUCAAAAAGGGAUAUACGAUUUUUUUUUAAAUGCUUUGAUUUUCGUUUUAUAUUUAGAAUAACAAGAAAGUAAAAUCAGUAAGAGACAGAAACGAAAAAAAGGUCCGUUUUUUCAUUUUCUGAGACCGGAAGUGGUCAUCAGGAAGUGUGGAGCCAAACAGAGUACGGUGCAUAGACUGUACAUACAUUAUUUUCGUUAGUUUUCAUGGUCAAAAUGAGAGAUCAGGUGGCCGAUCUUAAAAUAAAUCAAUAUUGAUUUUUUUAUAGAGCGUUACAGUUUUGCGAAGCCAGGGGGCGGGACUACUUGAAUGACAGUCCGGUCCGGAAUGAUUGACAGGUCCUAUGGAGGAGCCGGCAGAGACUCUGCUCUCCUCGUUUGGAUUAAUUCUGGUAUAAUAACUGUUGGUUUAUUUAUCGGUGCAGCAGCAGAACAUUUUCCACAGACAGUUUUCCUGCCCGUUGGCUUGUUUUGACCAGUUUUCUACCUUCGGCUGAUUCUACCAGCAGACACUGAAAGGACUCUAAUAGUUGGAGUGAAAGUAGCAAUUCCUCCUUAAGGUCAGAGAUUGCAGCAUCUGAGGGCCUCUUCAAAAGAAGACGUCGAUGAAGGCGAUCUGGAGCAGGACCAGAAAGACCACGACCAAGCAGCCUUGAGAUCUUAGGCAGCGUCUCCCUCAGGUCCCGCUCUAUCUCCCUACACAUCCACCAACCACUGGAACACAUCUCCAAAGUUCUGCCGGGCCAGCUCAGCUUCCCCUCAGAAGAAGUGCCGCCACCUGCCAGAUGAAGGAGCCUUUUGAGAGGCAGCUGGCAUCGUGAUUGGACUGUACUUUGGUCUGUUCCAAUCCAGCUUCAGCUCCAGAGACGGCAGGCGAGACGAGUCAACGGAGGCCGGGUGGACGAAGGCAUGCAGCUGAGUCAAAAAAAAAAAUGCGAUUUUUCAACGUUGUAAAAUGUGCCAUAUGAUGAAAUAAUGUAAAGGAGGCUGUGAAAAACACUCCAGAAAGGUUUUCUUUGAAAAAAAAAAUCAUCAUGAAUUUUGGCGCAAAAAAAACGCCAUAGUAUACUAUGUCAAAAAUGUCAUUUUUCAACAUGUUGUGAAAACAUGCCAUAUGAUGAAAUAAUGUAAAGCAGGUUGUGAAAAACACUCCAAAAAGGUUUUCUUUGAAAAAAAAAAUUAUCAUGAAUUUUGGCGCAAAAAAAAUGCCAUAGUAUACUGUCGGAAAAAAAAUGCGAUUUUUCAACAUGUUGUAAAAACGUGCCAUAUGAUGAAAUAAUGUAAAGGAGGCCGUGAAAAACACUAUGGUAAGGUUCUCUUUGAAAAAAAAAAUCAUGAAUUUUGGCGCAAAAACACGCCAUAGUAUACUAUGUCGGAAAAAAAAUGCGAUUUUUCAACAUGUUGUAAAAACAUGCCAUAUGAUGAAAUAAUGUAAAGGAGGCUGUGAAAAACACUCCAGAAAGGCUUUCUUUGAAAAAAAAAAAAUCAUGAAUUUUGGCGCAAAAAAAACGCCAUAGUAUACUAUGUCGAAAAAUGUCAUUUUUCAACAUGUUGUGAAAACAUGCCAUAUGAUGAAAUAAUGUAAAGGAGGCUGCGAAAAACACUAUGGUAAGGUUCUCUUUGAAAAAAAAAACCAUCAUGAAUUUUGGCGCAAAAAAACACCGUAGUAUACUAUGUCGGAAAAUGUCAUUUUUCAACACUAAAUCUUCUUGAAAAAUAUGUUUUACUUAAGUCCACCUGUUUCAGCCAUCUCUACCCCUCAUUAGGUGCCACUCUAACCUACAUUAUACAAAAAAAGUCCAGUAGAUGUCACUGUGUUUUGAAAUAGCAUGCAGAGCAAGUUUGUCUGCUCACAGGAAGUUAGCAUGAACAAAAACACUCCUCACAUGAGGCCUCUGUUUGCUGUGAUUUUCAAAGAUAAAGUAAUACUUUUGACAUAUUAUGGUGCCUAAGGAGUUGCUGAACACAAAUGUGUCAUUUGAAAUGUAAAAAAAAAAAAAAAAAAAAAAACAUUUAAAAGGGUAAAAUAAUUUUUCUAGACCGUUUGGUGGAGGUCAAUAUUUUAAAAAUCGCUGGGUCACUUCAUAAAAAAACCAUUGAUUGUUGUUAUUAGUGCCCCAAAGAGAUAAGAAAUAUAAAGAAAUAAUUUUUUCAUUGCCUUAUUCUUGGUGAGGAUGUUAAAGUGUUAACAUCUGUAAACAAAACAAAAACGUAUCAACAAAGUUUUCUGUUAGAGUUUGUGUUCUUGUAAGUUUAACUCCAAGAUUUUAAAUACUUUUAUUUACUGCAAAUGA